ACGGCUGGCCAGCGUCGUGGGGCGCGCUCCUCGGGUGAGAGCAUGGAAGAGCGUCUUUGCCCCUCACUCCUCGGUUUCUCCUCCCUGGAAUGUCGCGGCCCCCCACCCCUCUCUGGGAGAGACGGCAGACAACAAAGGGGCCCGGGGUGGCGGCCGGAGGGACGAUGUGAGGGACGCCGCCGAGCCAGCGCCAGGGGAAGUUGGGGACGAAGGUGGGGGCUGGGAGGACGACAAACCAAAACAGCGACCUGGCUGAGAAGCCCCUUUGUCUGGGAGAGUGCCGGGUGAAAGCCCAAAGCUGAGAGCAGCCCCGGGGUCUGACGCUUUCGUCACCCUGCAGCCGCACCCGGGCCUUUGGGUGGUGAGAGCUGGGCCUGGGUUCGACGCCCGCGGGCGCAGGGAGACCGGCUCCCCUUUGCUGUGUGAAAGUUUAGUUCUUUGUAGCCAGCCGCCCUCGUUGAAGGCCCCACCUUCUUCCUGAGAAAGUUUCUAAGCAUCCCUUCACCCCUUGAGCGCAGGCACCCCCAGACUGUUGAAGUCCGCCAGGUUUACAUACCCUGGCGGGUCACGUGUAUAUAUAAUCCCCCCAA
rnacentral:lncRNA from 1 species